CUUCAAGGAGGUCUGUGUGCUUAAGAGGAUAAUGACCUUGAAUCCUAAACUUGAAUGGUCUGACUCGCUCCUCAGGCACUGAAAGUAGGUGGUUUGGUCUCUGCUUAGCUUCCCAAACGUAAAUAAUGGCAUAGAGGUGCUUUGAUUUUUUUUUUUUUUUUUUUUUUUAAGUGUGCUGUAUCAGAUCCAAUGGCAGUGGGAGUAACAGAAGGCUUAUAAAAGGCAGAACGUAACAGUUCUAGCUGCAUUAUACUCCCAUUGCACCCGUGUGGAAGAAGACAACACUGAAAGCAGAGCCUGGACAGUCAGUUUUCUUGAGUGCCCUCAUGGACCUUGAGACCACAUUUCUG
rnacentral:lncRNA from 1 species